GUGCCAGCCGCCGCGGUAAUACGGAGGGGGCGAGCGUUGUCCGAAGUUACUGGGCGUAAAGCGCGCGUAGGCGGGUCAGCAAGUCCGCUGUGAAAGCCCGAGGCUCAACCUCGGCGGGUCGGUGGAUACUGUUGGUCUUGAAGGUGCUAGGGGGAGAUGGAAUUACCGGUGUAGCGGUGAAAUGCGUAGAUAUCGGUAGGAACACCAGUGGCGAAGGCGGUCUCCUGGGGCAUUCUUGACGCUGAGGCGCGAAAGCUGGGGGAGCGAACGGGAUUAGAAACCCGAGUAGUCC
rnacentral:rRNA from 1 species